rnacentral:rRNA from 1 species
CACGUAGGGCGCAAGCGUUGUCCGGAAUUAUUGGGCGUAAAGAGCUCGUAGGCGGUCUGUUGCGUCCGCUGUGAAAACUCGGGGCUUAACCCCGAGCCUGCAGUGGAUACGGGCAGACUAGAGGUAGGUAGGGGAGAAUGGAAUUCCCGGUGUAGCGGUGAAAUGCGCAGAUAUCGGGAGGAACACCGGUGGCGAAGGCGGUUCUCUGGGGCCUUACCUGACGCUGAGGAGCGAAAGCGUGGGGGAGCAAACAGG